rnacentral:rRNA from 1 species
UGGGGAAUUUUGGACAAUGGGCGAAAGCCUGAUCCAGCAAUGCCGCGUGUGUGAAGAAGGCCUUCGGGUUGUAAAGCACUUUUGUCCGGAAAGAAAUCCUUGGCUCUAAUACAGUCGGGGGAUGACGGUACCGGAAGAAUAAGCACCGGCUAACUACGUGCCAGCAGCCGCGGUAAUACGUAGGGUGCAAGCGUUAAUCGGAAUUACUGGGCGUAAAGCGUGCGCAGGCGGUUUGCUAAGACCGAUGUGAAAUCCCCGGGCUCAACCUGGGAACUGCAUUGGUGACUGGGCAGGCUAGAGUAUGGCAGAGGGGGGUAGAAUUCCACGUGUAGCAGUGAAAUGCGUAGAGAUGUGGAGGAAUACCGAUGGCGAAGGCAGCCCCCUGGGCCAAUACUGACGCUCAUGCACGAAAGCGUGGGGGAGCAAAACAGGAUUAGAUACCCUGGUAGUCCACGCCCUAAACGAUGUCAACUAGUUGUUGGGGAUUCAUUCCUUAGUAACGUAGCUAACGCGUGAAGUUGACCGCCUGGGGAGUACGGUCGCAAGAUUAAAACUCAAAUGAAUUGACGGGG